rnacentral:lncRNA from 1 species
UUGAAAGUAGUAUGUUGCUGGAUCAAAGACAGGAGCAUAAUUGUAGAAUGAAAUAAAUGGUCUCAUAAAUAUACAGAAAUAGAAAGAUUACAAAAAAUGUUGAUACAGCAAAAGGCUGCAUAUUGAAACAUACUCCUAGAGAGAAAAGAAAAAAGCGACUCACCAAUGUAAUCUUAAAAAAAUAGCACAAACAACUCCUAGGAAUCUCUAACUGGGCAAUAUGAUUUUACACGUUUGAGAUCCCCUUGCUCUCUUUUCCUUUUGAUGCUAGUAACUUCCUGGUUCUUCUAGCACUUCAUCCACUGAAAUAUCAUUCUGCAUAUUUUCACCAUCUUGUAACUUCAUCAAUGGUAGCUAUCACACGACAUGGAGAUGAGAUGUUAAAGAAAACCAUAUAUAUGUCAAGGAAGCAAGGGAACAACAUUCAGUAUAAUCAGGCACACCUUAGAUAGUUAGAUAUAUCGACUCUUUAUCAAGAAUGUCUGACAAACUUUGUGCUUCAUUGUAAAGAUCAUGCCCCUGCUCAUCCAGAUGGCCAUUGUCACCAGCCUGAUCUACCAGAUAAGAAUGCUUGAUAUCAUUAAACAAAAUAAUAAUUUAUGGGCAAGGAAGAAUAUAACAGCUAUGAGAAAGAAAUCUCUAGAAAUAAAUAAUUAAUGCAACGAAUAGGGAUGUUAAUAAUCGAGUUUACCGUGAAUUGUCUGUCAGAGUAGGUAUUUGAAGCUGAUCAGGCUGUAGGAAUACACAAACAAAAGAGAGAUAGUGGCAAAGGUACUGAUAUGGUCAUCAAUGUUUACAUAUAUAAAAUCUAUCAAUCUGACUUGGGGCUCCAGAAUGAGGAGUAACCCUCCCAACUAUAAUAACAGAAAUUUAAAGGACACUCUGCAUGUCUACGCAAUCAAAGAUGCAAGCAUACAAGAACUAACGGUACUCUGAAUGCAACAUACGUAGGUAGAACAACACAUCAUAUAAGAUAAAAAUAAGUAGAGAAAUAUCUAUCACAUAUAGUAAUUAAAUGGUGAUAAAUUACAUGAAAGGUAGAAAUUACAGAUAUAAUAAUAGCUACAGAACCUGGUGUAACCUGCAAGAUCUGGAUGCAUUUCUUUGUUUUUGAGAUUACAUAUAAAUGAUGAUGGUGAACAUAUCAGCGGAUGCGAUGGUCGCCGUCCCCUGCCGAGACAUUCUCGCCUAGCCACUCCACUGCGCCCCAGUGCCACCUAUCCCGCCUCACCCACUGUCGUGCCCAGUCUGCAACAUUAUCAUAAUUAAGUAACUUAUUAUGCUCAUAUACCAAAAAUUGUGUCCUCCCGAGUUCCAUGAACCAGCCCCAUUCCAUAUGCUACAGUCAUGUCGUUGCCAUAGAUUACAAGAAAGUACGCUAGUUAAUUCCUACAACGACCUAAAUAGCAACAAAUCGAGUAGCGCCGACUGAUACAUAGCGCGCAGGCAAGCAACAACGUUCCACCCGCUGUGACGUUCAUAGAAAUAAAUGUGGAGAGCACAAAUCAGGCUAAACCAAACAAGGAUAAAAAGUUUGCACUCUCAUGCAUGAUCCGAGCCAAAUCACAAGUCAUUCAGUCAAGUGUAGGCUUUUGUACAAGAGCACAAGCAUGCACCAAGCUUUCAUAACAGAUCCCCAAACUGGCUGGUACAAGCAAGUUUGAAUCAGAUCACAAGGUAAUGAAAAGAUAGGAUAGCUACCCCGAAAACAUGGUUGAUUUGAAACUGAAGAAAGUUUCCCUUCAUUUCCUUAAAUUUCUUGCACAAGUCAACCAUGUUAUCAUUCCUAGCACACCAGAGAUCUUGGACCGGCUCCCGAAAUUUAAGUGUGUUACUUAUGCUAAGAUAAGAAAACUGAACGCUAAUAAAGCCUCCAGCAACUCGAGAAACUCUUCAAAGAGCUCUGAUUAGUUUCACCAGAUUUUCUAUAAAUUAAGACUGUUAUCCAAUUAUUCCUUGCACAAAUAAAAUAAUAGGCUGUGGGGCACCUUAACCUAUAUAUAAAUGUGUUAACAGAUGCAGCAUAAAACUUUCUCUUGGCGAGGAUAAACUGAGGACCAUGAUGAUAAAAUAAUACAAAAUAAAAGCAGAAGCAAUUCGACCUCUUUUGAUUUGACCACAAACAUAUUUGAAUGCCUUCUUAGCAGCAUAUGUUAACUCCAGCAGCAAUGCACGACAUUCAACACCAUUAUUCGUUGCAAUACCCAAACACUCUCGUAGUUGAGCAAUCUUCAGUUAAAGUAACUAACCACUAAGAAAAAUACCAGCAUAGUAACUGUUGGUGUACAUAUAUACCACAGAUCCAUCCAAAUGCCUUAUUAUUACACCAGCGCCUGGUUUCCCAGGAUUUCCAUUGCAAGCACCAUAAAAUUCAAGAAUGCAGGACAGCUAUAAAGACAAGGUCCAGUGAUGAGAACAAGCCAACAUUUCCUCAGUGAAGAUAAGUUGCAAAUAUGCCUAUCUCUACUACCUAAAAAAAGAGUAAGGUUCCAAGCAAGCAAUCAAACCUCUCACUCCGAACAACUUUUUUUAAUUUCUUUUACCCUUAGCGGGCUAAUCAAGCAUCAAAAAAUUCUCAUUAACAUGUUUGUGCUGAUGAUUCUAUUGAUUAUUGACUCACUUUCAAACCAUUAUUUGUCAGAUCAAUAGGCAUUUAAUUGACAACAAUGCAAAUUAGAACUUAAUUGAGAAAAUGAUUAAGAGGAAGAAGGGGACAUCUUACCGAUUGAAAGAAACGCAAGAGUGAGGGACGACGGAGACGCGCAAACAGCAACAAUUUUUUUAUUAUUCAGUACUGCUACCAAAAGGUCAUUCUAUGACAAAGAACUCAUUGGGGAACAGCAGUUGCACCGGGUUACCUGGUAUAAGACCAACAUAUUGUUCCCAAAAAGAAACAUAAGUUGCAAUUGUAUAAGAUGGAAAAGCAUACAAAAUAAAGAAAGAAUUGGGAUAUACAUCCACAUGGGUUGCUAAAUAAAGUGUAUGCACAAUUAGUGAAAUUCAUCUAAAAACUAAAGUAUGCAGAGAGCAAGACAACAUGUGAGAUAAUUAACCUAACCUACGGUCUACUUGUGAUGUAUUUGGGGCUGUGCAAGAGACCUCUUUCCGUUGCAAUGAACAAGGCCCAACUUUGAAAGCGGUGAUACAAAAUUUAAUGUAAUGAUCAAAAAGCACAAUUUGGAGAACACUUAGAUUCCACAAAUCCAGCUAGAUAGAAGCAACUCAAAAUAAAAAUGGUCUGAAAUUAAAAAACUCUUGUUCGACAACCGCUAGCCCCGGCCUCCCCAGCCUCCGCUCCGGCGUCUUGGCAACACCGCUCUAGGACCUUGUUCGGGCUGUAUGCUUCUACUUGGCAUAAUAUUUGCUUCUUCAACAAUAAAUUUUCAUUUACCUAGUAAGAGAGAUCAUACGAGUUGCAAGUAGCAACUGCAAGUAAUUGCAGGAUGUAGUAGAUGUUAGGAAUAUGAAGUAUAGCACUGACCCAAUUGGAUGCCCUGGCCUUGUGCUUCUUGGAGACAACCCAAUGCACCUGCCCUUGCCAUCAACCAUGGGCAGGCCGUACUGGGUGGCAAAGAGUGUGUUGAUCCCUGCCAGACAUCACCUUCUCGAGCGUCGCCAUGUGACUCAU